CAACUCUCAUAUUUUUUCCCCUAUUUCUUCAUGUGUAUACAAGCAAAACGGAAAGAGAGGAGGAGGUGGAGGUUGUAGGUAAAUAUAUGCGUCUAUGCAUAUUCUCUUAUCAUACUUCUCCCCUUUCUUUUCAACAAUUCUUAAGUU
ensembl:ncRNA F54D1.17 ncRNA